CUGAGUAGGGACAGCUCUGGGUUACCUGACAAAUUACAAUCCUUGUGCUGAGAAGCAGAGUGGGACCUUGAUCAAUA
rnacentral:lncRNA from 1 species